rnacentral:tRNA from 1 species
UGCAUCGGCGGGGAAUCGAACCCGGGCCACCCGCCUGGUAGGCGAGCAUUCUACCACUGAACCACAGAUGC